rnacentral:rRNA from 1 species
UACGUAGGGGGCGAGCGUUGUCCGGAAUCAUUGGGCGUAAAGCGCGUGUAGGCGGUUCGGUAAGUCUGCUGUGAAAGUCCAGGGCUCAACCCUGGGAUGCCGGUGGAUACUGCUGAACUAGAGUGCGGAAGAGGUGAGUGGAAUUCCCGGUGUAGCGGUGAAAUGCGCAGAUAUCGGGAGGAACACCAAUUGCGAAGGCAGCUCGCUGGGACGUUACUGACGCUGAGACGCGAAAGCGUGGGGAGCAAACAGG